GACGAACGCUGGCGGCGUGCUUAACACAUGCAAGUCGAACGCUGAAGACCUGGCUUUUGUUGGGUUGGAUGAGUGGCGAACGGGUGAGUAACACGUGAGUAACCUGCCCUCUUCUUUGGGAUAACGCCCGGAAACGGGUGCUAAUACUGGAUAUUCACUUAUCUUCGCAUGGGGGUUGGUGGAAUGGUUUGUUCUGGUGGGGGAUGGGCUCGGGGCCUAUCAGCUUUUUGGUGGGGUGAUGGCCUACCAAGGCUUUGACGGGUAGCCGGCCUGAGUGGGUGACCGGGCAAAUUGGGAAUGAGAAACGGGACAGACUGAUGCGGGAGGAAGCAGUGGGGAAUAGUGCACAAUGGGCGAAAGACUGAAGCAGAGACGCCGCGUGAGGGAUGGAGGCCUUCGGGUUGUAAACCUCUUUCGCGAAUGGUAAAGCCGCAAAUGUGGGUUGUGGUGAGGGUAGUGGGUAAAGAAGCGCCGGCUAACUACGUG
rnacentral:rRNA from 1 species